CACCUCAGUCUCCUGAGUAGCUGUGACAACAGGUGUGCGCCGAUACACCCAGCUCAUUUCCGUAUUUUUACUAGAGGUGGGGUUUUGCCAUGUUGGCCAGGCUGGUCUCAAAUUCCUGACCUCAAGUGAUCCGCCCACCUCGGCCUCCCAAAGUGCUGGGAUUACAGGUGUGAGCCACCGUGCCUAGCCUCCAUCUCAGUUUUCUAACAGAAUCAUUAAAUAGCAAGUAAGCAUUAACGAAGAAGAGUGUGACUUCUUACAAGUGUUCUGCAAACAUUGCACAUACUCUUUCCAUAUUGUAAUAUACACACACACACACACACACACAGAGUCUGGGAAGGAUCACAUAAAUCCUAUCAAAAAUUUCUUAAUAAUCAUAAUUCGUUAGCUCCAUCAUCUUACUAAAAGAAAAUGAAAACAAAUCAUUACAUGUUAAUAAUAGAGAAUUUGCCUAAAGUUUCCCAUAGCAAUCUACUAAAAAAUUUAAAAUAUAGUUUUAAAAAAACAUAGUAAAGAACAAAGAAGGCCAUAGAAUGACCCAUAAUCUCAAUACCCAGAUAUGCUUUUUGACAUAAAAAAAAAA